GGGCGUAUAGCUCAGUUGGUUAGAGCACCUGCCUUACAAGCAGGGGGUCAGAAGUUCGAAUCUUCUUACGCCCACCA
rnacentral:tRNA from 1 species